GACGAACGCUGGCGGCGUGCCUAAUACAUGCAAGUCGAGCGGAAUGAUGAAGAAGCUUGCUUCUUCUGAUUUUAGCGGCGGACGGGUGAGUAACACGUGGGCAACCUACCUUGUAGAUUGGGAUAACUCCGGGAAACCGGGGCUAAUACCGAAUAAUCCAUUUCGCUUCAUGGCGAGAUGUUAAAAGGCGGCUUUGGCUGUCACUACGAGAUGGGCCCGCGGCGCAUUAGCUAGNGGUAGGGUAACGGCCUACCAAGGCAACGAUGCGUAGCCGACCUGAGAGGGUGAUCGGCCACACUGGGACUGAGACACGGCCCAGACUCCUACGGGAGCAGCAGUAGGGAAUCUUCCACAAUGGACGAAAGUCUGAUGGAGCAACGCCGCGUGAGUGAAGAAGGUUUUCGGAUCGUAAAACUCUGUUGUAAGGGAAGAACACGUACGAGAGUAACUGCUCGUACCUUGACGGUCCUUAUUAGAAAGCCACGGCUAACUACGUGCCAGCCGCCGCGGUAAG
rnacentral:rRNA from 1 species